GCUAGAUCUAGUUCUGAACGUCAAUUGUGCUUGGAAAAGUUCAACGGACGUCGUCUUGAUCUUUGUCCUCUGGAAUGGCCAUGUGGCAGGUAUAGGUAUUCAUACAUUCCUGAAUACUGGACAGACCAUAUUUUCCAGAAUACAUUGACAAGGCCGGUGGUGGCUGGUCCACUCUAGGAAGCUGAGGUGCGGGAGGGUCCUCCUAACCCUCUGGACAUCGAGGGGGCCCUGGCGUAUGCUGUUCAAGCCAUCAUGGACUCGAGGCGUCGGGCGAGGGGCCUUCAGUACCUCGUGGAGUGGGUACGGUCCUGAGGAGAGAUGCUGGGUGCCGGUGGAGGACGUCCUGGACCCUUCGUUGCUGCGGGAUUUCCACCGUCUCCAUCCGGAUUGCCCUGCGCCUCGUCCUCUGGGUCGUCCCCGAUGUCGGCGUGCUGCUGGAGCCGCGCGUCAAGGGGGAGUACUGUCACGACUUCCGCCGAAGUCGGUCCCUCUCCUUGUUCGGGCGGCGUUCGGCAGUCGACGUCACCGGCUUUCUAGCCACCGCCGAUCCACUUUUAAUUUUCUAUUUGUUCUGUCUUUGUCUUAUCACACCUGGCUUCACUCAAUCAAUUUACUUGUUUAUUCUUUAACCCUCUGUUCCCCAUGUUGUAUUUGUGAGUGAUUGUUUAUUGUUACGUGGAUAUUUGUCAGGCGCUGCACUUUUGUUUUAGACCGUGAUUUUGGCACUAGUAUGUGUUAGUUGCUGUCAUAUGUUAACCGGUAUUAAAGUGCGCCUGUUCAUUAUA